rnacentral:snoRNA from 1 species
AACCCAUGGUGAAGGCACCUUCUCAAAAGGUCCUUGUAUCUCUCCCAUGCAUCAUAGAGUGUUUCUAAAUCCAUCUGCACAAAAGA